rnacentral:rRNA from 1 species
UACAGAGGGUGCGAGCGUUAAUCGGAAUUACUGGGCGUAAAGCGCGCGUAGGCGGCUUUGCAAGCCGGAUGUGAAAUCCCCGGGCUUAACCUGGGAACUGCAUUCGGGACUGCAUUGCUAGAGUAUGGGAGAGGGAAGUGGAAUUUCAGGUGUAGCGGUGAAAUGCGUAGAUAUCUGAAGGAACAUCAGUGGCGAAAGCGACUUCCUAGACCAAUACUGACGCUCAUGUGCGAAAGCGUGGGGAGCAAACAGG